AACCAGCACCUCAAGUGGUCAGGAUGAUUAUUGGGCCUAAAGCAUCCGUAGCCUGUUUUGUAAGUCUCCGGUUAAAUCCAUCAACUCAAGUGAUGGGCUGCCGGAGAUACUGUAAAACUAGGGAAUGGGAGAGGUAGACGGUACUCGAUAGGAAGGGGUAAAAUCCUUUGAUCUAUUGAUGACCACCUGUGGCGAAGGCGGUCUACCAGAACAUGUCUGACGCUGAGGGACGAAAGCGUGGGGAGCGAACAGG
rnacentral:rRNA from 1 species